AACGAACGCUGGCGGCAGGCUUAACACAUGCAAGUCGAACGCCCCGCAAGGGGAGUGGCGCACGGGUGAGUACCGCGUGGCUAUCUGCCUUUUGGUUCGGAAUAACCCCGGGAAACUGGGGCUAAUACCGGAUGGUUCCUACGGGAUAAAGAUUUAUCGCCAAAAGAUGAGUCCGCGUACGAUUAGCUAGUUGGUGAGGUAAUGGCUCACCAAGGCGACGAUCGUUAGCUGGUCUGAGAGGACGAUCAGCCACACUGGGACUGAGACACGGCCCAGACUCCUACGGGAGGCAGCAGUGGGGAAUAUUGGACAAUGGGGGCAACCCUGAUCCAGCCAUGCCGCGUGAGUGAUGAAGGCCUUCGGGUUGUAAAGCUCUUUUGGCGGGGACGAUGAUGACGGUACCCGCAGAAUAAGCCCCGGCUAACUUCGUG
rnacentral:rRNA from 1 species